rnacentral:lncRNA from 1 species
AUGAAUGAAGUCAUGAAUAAACAGCUGUGUAGGAGAACAAUCUGUCAUGAUUUUGAAAGAAAACAGUUUUCCUGGUUGCAUUCAAGGAACGUUGCUCCUUCCUUUCCCCAUGUCUUGACCGGCAGGAAGGCAGCUCUCGAGAUGCUUGAAGAGAUGAACUGGAGCUCAGGUUUGGGUUGUUGGUUUUUUUUUUUUUUCACAUUGACCUGUAGGUUAUUAAGCCUCUGUUUCCCCUGGCUGCUGCUGUGGGCUCCCAGAGCAGGGUGUGGAGCUGAAUGAGAACAGCUUUAGGCACCGCUGUGCAGGGGCUGCAGGGGUUUCCAGGCAGCUUACACGAGGCCAACAGGCAGGAUGAGGUCUUGUCUACACAUGUUCUUCUACCAGCUCUGCCACUGGAAAUUUUCCUGAAAAGAAAAGGGGUUAUACACUGCAAACAUGUCACGUUUCUUUACUUAAAAGUAAAGAUGCAGCUGCUUUGCCGUUCUGUAGUUUUGGCUAGCGCUACCUCUUUCUAUAUCCCAUCUUAACAUGGUAAAAAAGGUACGGAUGUGCAAAGAAAAGAAGAAAUAUAUAGAUUUUGAAUAGGAGUUGUUGAAAUUAGAAAUUUUAAGUAAUCGUAGUUGCUUCUACUUCACAGAAAUUUAUAACUUCUAUUUUCAGUUUUUUUCUUAUUACUUUUAGAAAUUUUGUUUUUCUUUCUUUUUUCCCCCCUCUCUAUUUUGUAUACCACAAAGCAAUAAGCACACUUAGUCUCUUUUUUUUUUGUUUCCUCUCUUUCUCUUUCUUUUUCUUAUGAGAUAGACGAGAAAAUAGAGAAAAGAAAUAUGAAAAGCAAAAAAUCCUGUGAACAUCAUGCAUUCUAUUGAACCCAGCAGAAAAAAAAAGGAAAAAAAAUCUGAAAAAGUGUCAGUGCUGAGCUUUCACACAAUCUUUUUUCUUGAACUAAAAAUAUACACAUAGUCCUACUGUCUCUUCUUUUGGCAAAGCUGAAAUUUAUGAGAAUGUGUUUAGAACCAUUGUGUCUCAGGGAAAUCUACAAAGUCUUCUUUUCUCAGGGGUGUGUGCACAAUUUGUUCCUAUUUUUCCAAAAAAACUAGAGAAAUCUUAGAUCAUAAGCUCCAUGAUUUGGGCCCUGAUCUUUUUUAUUCAAACAGCAUCAAUUACUUCAAG